UGAGACCCCUCGAUGGCCGCGAUCAGCAAUGGUUGAGGAACUUCCGGGCUCCAUAGAGCACGAUGGCGGAUAACGUCCGCCCAGGGUGACCUGAGAGAUAGCGCAGCAGAGAACAGACCGCCUGCACACUCGUGCAGGUAAGGGUGAAACGGCGGUGUAAGAGACCACCGGGACGUUGGUAACAACGGCCGCAUGGCAAGCCUCAUCGGGAGCAAGGCCAAGCAGAAGGCAGGGUUGCUCGCCCACAUGCCUUCGGGUAGGCUGCUAGAGCCUGGCGGUGACGUCAGGUCGAGAUGGAUGGCCAUCCGUACCGAUUCGGUACGACAGAACCCGGGGUAUGAGGGGUCUCAUCUU
rfam:Bifidobacterium gallicum DSM 20093 = LMG 11596 strain DSM 20093 B_gallicum-1.0.1_Cont0.1, whole genome shotgun sequence.